UUUUUUUACUGAAUCUUGAUAGUAUUUAUAAGGAAGAUAUGAGUGAAUAUUUUCUCUAAUUUCCGGAGUCGUUGUCCGACUAUGAUCUGAUUUUAUUAAACGAACAGAGUUAUCUUUCUUGGUAAUUUGAUACAGACGCCUUCAGACCCGCCAAAGACAAACAAAAUUUAAAACAAUGGAUCCCGUCGACCAAGCAAAUAUAUCUAUGGACGAUGCAACAGAUACAGAACAUCUUAUUAGAAUAUUGACGGAAUCAAAAGCCAGCUUAACAAUUAUUACAGCAGCAGAAGGACUGUGACACAGUAGUGGGAAUGAAAUCCCUAGAAUAUAGAUCAAAUCGAAGAAAAGAUCAGAUAUAAAACAAUGAAGAAAGAAAAGGAUGACUUAAUUUCAAAAGCAGAUUUUACAAAAGUUCACCUGACAACCAAAAAGAACUGCCCACCAAGAGCCUUUAUCAUUCAAAAGAAGAUAGUUCCGUAAUGAACAAUUCCUGUAUGAUAGGAGAUGGACUGACAAUUUCUGUUUUGUUGAGGAUAAAAUUCAUGUGAUUUUACAUUUUCCUGUUAAUGACUAUAUAUGGCAAAUUCUCUUUAUUAAAUCUAUUAACACUUAUGAAAUUGGUGAUGAAAAUGUUAUAAUUUUUCAAGGGAAAAUAAUGUAAACUUGUUAUUGUCUCUCAUAAAUCUGUACAGAUUAUAUCAAGAUUUAUAAUUGUAUUUUUUGUUUGCUUUAAGUGAGACUUUUAAAUAAAAUAUUGAAAUAAUUUGAAAA